ensembl:snoRNA U3 Small nucleolar RNA U3
AAUACUAUACUUUCAGGGAUAAUUUCUCUAGUUCAUCACUAGAGAAGUUUCUCUGAAAGUGUAGAACACCAGAAACCAUGAAGAGAGGUGCAGCGUCCUCUCCUGAGUGUGAAGCUGGGUCCUGGUGUUGCUUCGCUGCAACUGCCAUUUGCCAUUGAUGAUUGUUUUUCUCUUCUCUUGGGAGAGUAAGAGGGAAGGAUGCAGUCUGAGUGGU